CUGGAUUUUCCGGGCGUUGACUGCGACGCCUG
rnacentral:scRNA from 1 species